CGAUUUCUUUCCUGUCCACUGCCCUAAGGAUCUGUUCUGUUUCUCCAGGGCAUCUUGGCAAGAGACUUGAAGAUUGUGUCGACAUUUGAGGGAGUUUCUGAAAUAAAUGUAUCUUGGCCAUUUUGAGUGACACCCAGUAACAGAUCUAUCAUCUCCAUGUUGUAUAAUCCUUCUCUGAAUCCCAUUUGGUCUCCAGUAUCCAUUUUGGGGGCUCACAAGUCUUAGGCUCACAGGUCCCUGCUCCAGGCUACAGCAGCCAGUGGAAGCACCAACACCAGUAUCACAAAGGUCUCAUUGAGGAGCAGUUCCUGAAAACAUGAAGCUAAUCACACGUUGGACUCCCUUAUUGGAUCGAGAGCAGGGCACAAAGGCUGGGAGAUGGACAUGUCCGCGCUGUGGUGACAAACAUCUGGCGAUGAGGCUGGCUUCCCUCACAGGCUCCACGCUCCUCUUGGCUAUUUUAGGACAGAGAUGAUGGAGUCAAAAUGACUGCUUUGCUUCUGCUGUAUGUAUCUUGGAGCUGGAUUUUUCUAUGAAGUCUGUGGAAGCUUGUUACCAUGUUAAAUGCCCAGCUUUCAUUAAAUCCACACCUGAAGGAGUCUCUGGAAUGCUCCUUGCACAAAUUGCUAUCAUGUAAAUUUGUUAUCAAAGGAGCAGCGGAUGGAUGGAGCCUCAGCUGUGCUCUUGAACAUGCCUAUACACAGCUCUCCAGCUUUGCAGAUGUCAGCAAAGUCGUCUCUUGUGAUGCUGUUCUACUUUCAGUGCCACCUGAAUCAAUCUGUUAUCUAGGAAUAGCCUGGGUUCUUUAAAAUGGUUUGUUGUUCUUCUAGUUGUGUGAAUUUUCAGCCCACCCAAUGCUCUUCUGAGGUACCUGGUAGUUGCUGCUUUUGCUUCAGCAUCCUCGAAAUCCAAGGGUCGUCUUGACUUCUACAUUAUGGGAGUUAUUGCACUCAGAUAAACUGCAGUUCUAAAGAAUAGUCAGCCGCUUGCAAGGAUAUUUCAGCUGACAUCCCUGUGAUUCUGUGUUGUUAUUUUGUUUUACUAUUUCAAAAUAUUCUGUUAGGUUUCAGCUCCUACAAACUAUUUAGAAGCAUCCGCCAGAUGUCCAUCUAAAAAAGAUAGUUUGCAAGGGUUGCAUGAGGUCAUGGUAUUGCUGCUUUUGGGAUGAAGACUCAAUGAAGAUGUAAGUGAAGCAGAGAACCUGACUAACUCACAAAGGCUAAAGGUAUCCAAAUUGUUAUGGUCUAACCUAUAACUGUCCUAAGAAGGAGUUAAGUAUAACAAAGAGGUGGGAAUUUCCAUGCCUGAGUUCUUAGAUUCCAAAUCAUCGUAAAUGCUUGUUUUUCCCAAAACACUAACACCCUUCUGACCUCUCUGAUUUUCUGACAUAAACUAAGAAUCUUUUCAUGAUAAUCAUAGUCAAGUAUCAGUUCCAAAAAGCCAAUGCUGUGCAUUAUAGGAACUUAUGAAGAUUAGAAAACAAAACAAAACAAGCAGUCUAGCACUUUCUGGGAUUAAUGCUAUGAUGGAUUUAAUGGGUGGUCCAUAAGUGGACAGAAUGUUGCACUAAUGUGUGACUGCAUGGCAAUUAAGCUUAAUUAGGGAAGGUUUUGAAAAAGACAGACGAAAGUAAAUAAUGGGAGCGAAAGCAACCGUGCUUUUGGGGACCACACUCUGCCACACUGGUUCAGCGAAGUGUUGUUUAAAAUGUCCCCCUUCUGUCGCGUUCUGCACAUCCAGCAGUUUGUCAAACCAAGCCUUUUUCUUGGGAAGGGGAGAUCUCUCAGGAGCACAUUCUUCACCUGGUCUCUGCUGAUCUCACCGGUUUCACGAGGAGACAGCUGCGCUUCCAGAGUAAGAGCAGCAGCAGAUGACCUGAAUACAUGGCCAUCCGGUUUACUUCAGCAUUGCCUCUUUUCUGCUUGGGGUAACAAAGGUAAUCCACAGUGCGGAUUUUCACGUGUGCUCUGGGGACAUUUUUUUACAAUUUCGUAUUUUUAGUGCUUUCUCAGAUUUACAACUGAGCACCCCAUAUGGAACAUCUGAUUCUGGUUGAAGUGAUUUUCUCUGGUGAGAAGACCUCAGUAGGCAGUUUCCAGGCUUCCAUGCUGCAUGGUUUGAGGACAUUCCAUAAAACAAGCUCUUUCAGAGCAGCGGACAUCAGGGUUUCUGUGCUCACACUGUUUCAGAGCUGGGUGCUCUUCUUCAAGAAAGUUUUAAAGGAAACAAAACUCAAAAUGCUGAAAUCUUCGAUGGAACAGAUUUGCUCUUUCUGCUCUGGACUAAGUGGUUGUUACUGCAGACACUGUUACAGUAUGCUAUGUUAUAUUGGAUUUUAUUAAAUGAUGGAAAAUAAUUAAGUAGAAAAGCAGAGGAAAAAUGCUACACAAUCUGCAGGCAGAUCUUUUUUUAGCUUGAAUAGUGUCUGGUAUUGCUUUCCACCAGGACAUGGGGAUGGUUUUUUUUCCCUAAUGAACUUUUUACAUCUGACAUGAAAUACUGAUUCUGUGGACAAUUUAUUAAGAAAAGCACUAGUUUCAUGUGGGGAGUUUUCAGUCCAACAGGGAAUUUAUAUGUGGAAAUCAUAUAUGGGUAUAGGGAAACACCUCAUAAAAAGAAUGACU